rnacentral:rRNA from 1 species
UACGUAGGGUGCGAGCGUUGUCCGGAUUUAUUGGCGUAAAGAGCUCGUAGGCGGCUUGUCGCGUCGGAUGUGAAAGCCCGGGCUUAACUCCGGGUCUGCAUUCGAUACGGGCAGGCUAGAGUGUGGUAGGGGAGAUCGGAAUUCCUGGUGUAGCGGUGAAAUGCGCAGAUAUCAGGAGGAACACCGGUGGCGAAGGCGGAUCUCUGGGCCAUUACUGACGCUGAGGAGCGAAAGCGUGGGGAGCGAACAGG